rnacentral:rRNA from 1 species
GAAUGCGGAGGUCAAAGUCCGUCGUAACGGCGUGGCUCGGUUUCCGCUUCCUAUCUUGAGGUAGAGGCUCUCUUCCUUAACGGGUUGGGAUGUCCGCUCCUCAUCAUUUACUUUGAAAAAAUUCGCGCGCUCAAGGCAGGCGUAACUUGCUAUGAAGAUUACAGCAUGGGAUAAUAGAAUACGACUUUGGUCUUAUUUUGUUGGUUUCUAAGGCUGAGGUA